rnacentral:rRNA from 1 species
AAAGCUCGUAGUUGAAUUUCGGGAUCAAUAUUUCGGUCAUGCCGUUGGUAUGCACUGUUAUCAUUGAUUUCUCACCUUCUAAAGAACCGUAAUGCCAUUAAUUUGGUGUUACGGGGAAUUAGGACUGUUACCUUGAAAAAAUUAGAGUGUUUAAAGCAGGCUCACGCUUGAAUACAUUAGCAUGGAAUAAUGAAAUAGGACAUCCGAUUCUAUUUUGUUGGUUUCUAGGAUCGAUGUAAUGAUUAAUAGGGAUAGUUGGGGGCAUUAGUAUUCAAUUGUCAGAGGUGAAAUUCUUGGAUUUAUUGAAGACUAACUACUGCGAAAGCAUUUGCCAAGGAUGUUUUCAUUAAUCAAGAACGAAAGUUAGGGGAUCGAAGACGAUCAGAUACCGUCGUAGUCUUAACCAUAAACUAUGCCGACUAGGGAUCGGAUGAUGUUAAUUUUUUAAUGACUCAUUCGGCACCUUACGGGAA